GUGAUGGGGGGUAAAUUCUGCUGGACAUGUCUCUCACCCUUUUUCUAGGACUGGUGGACUAGUUGAGGCUUGUUUCUCUUAUGGUGCCAGUGAAGGUACAAAGGUCAGCAUAUCCAAAUCUGCAUAUGUUUCAAACCUCUAAUCACAUUACACCUGAUAAUAUCCCAUUGAUAUAUGCUUGCUAAUAUCCCGCUAAGUCCCGUGGCUGAAUCUGGAGUCAAGAGCUCAGAAUAGCCUUGUCCAAAGUUACUCAGUAAAGAGAAGGGUGAAGAAUUGGGGCUAUUGAUUCUGUGUCUACCACAUCCAUACUUAGAUGAAAUCCCUGGAAGUGGAGGAAGGAAAUAUCUAUGAUUUAACCACAAAAGAUACAAAUUAGUGACAGAAAAAUAAAAUCACAUUGCUUGCACACCCAGGAUUUUGAAUUGGGAUUUGAUAGGAAUAUUACAAUAGGGGCAUAAACAAAAUGUAAAAAGAACCCAAAGGAAAAAUCUCAUUCUGACAUCAGAAUGACAUCACAAAUAAGGUGACAUUUGAUGAAUGUCCUAUGAAAGAUGAUUAGAAUUUUGAACUGAGGUUAAGUAAAAUCACAGAAUCAUGAAAAUUAUUCUUUGAAAUGGCAAAGAUUUCUGUGGCUGGAUCAUGGGAUUUAUUGAGUGGAGCGAUUUCUCCUCAGGAGACCAGACACAUGUGAGCUACGCGAAUCCACAGAAGUGUUGUUAUCUUUCUAUUUUUUCCUCGCUUAUAUGAAGGACUAUAGAAUUUUCAGAGCCCGGAACAACCACCAAAUCAGGAAUUCAAACCGCACCCUGGGAAGACUGGACUUCCUUUUGUUAAAAAGAAAAACCAAAGAUCUCUGAGAAAGCUUCUUAUGUCUCUUCCCUGACAUUUCACAAAAUAGAGAAAAAGGAAAAGAAAAAAAAUAUCCCUGAGGAAAGGCCAAGUAUAAAGAAGAAUUUGAUUUGGCAUUGCUUUGAAAGAUUCCACUUACUUCGUCAACCCAUGGAAUGCUUAUUGUUGAACCAACACCGUAAGAAGGACAUGGCUUCAGCUUCAAUAAGACUGCACUGUAUGCAAAAAUAUUGAAUAAAUGGAUAAAUAAUAAUUAUUGAACUCCUAUUGUGUGCCAGAAAUGGUAGUGAGAAUUCUACAUGUGACUCAAAGA